rnacentral:rRNA from 1 species
UGAGGAAUAUUGGGCAAUGCCCGCAAGGGUGACCCAGCAACGCCGCGUGGGGGAUGAAUGUCGUAAGAUUGUAAACUCCUGUUAGAGGGGAAGAAUAGUACCGGUUGGACCGGUAUAUGACUGUACCCUCAGAGAAAGCCCCGGCUAACUACGUGCCAGCAGCCGCGGUAAUACGUAGGGGGCAAGCGUUGUCCGGAUUUACUGGGUGUAUAGGGCGCGCAGGCGGGAUAAAAAGUCAGUGGUGAAAUCCUACAGCUUAACUGUAGAACUGCCUUUGAUACUUUUAUUCUUGAGUUCGGGAGAGAGAGACGGAAUUCCAGGUGUAGUGGUGAAAUACGUAGAUAUCUGGAAGAACACCAGUUGCGAAGGCGGUCUCUUGGUCCGACACUGACGCUGAGGCGCGAAAGCGUGGGGAGCAAACA